ACACCUGCUCUGGCAAUAGGCCACGGGCAGGGCUGCUUUAUAGCGAUCAGCUGGGAGCAGUUGGGGCCGAGCCCUUCAUGUCUCGGGCUGUCCACACUCCAAGCGCGGUGCGGGCGCCCAGGCCUCCAUCUUGCAUCUCAGUGUGAGCCUGGCGCUUGCGCACACAGCUUGCCUGCUAUGCUGAGGGGUGGGUGCAGCCGCUUGCCACGAGGAGGAGCUCUGGUCUGAAGCCCCUGGUGCGAGGUCUCUGCUCAGACCACCCUGUGAGCAAGUGAAACUCAACCAAGCACGAAGGAAAGAAAGGAAUUAGCCAUGACUGAGGUGAACACUGAGUAGCCAGAACAAGGCCAAGAUGAAAAAGGCUGAUUGUAUUCAUGACUGACUGGGACAGAAUGCAGGCUCUUACAAAGUCUAGAAGACCACCCACUAAGGCAAAUGACGAAUCUAGAAGACAUGAAGGAAGGAUCAUAAUUGAAGUUGUGGAGCCAGUAAUUUAGAGCUGGGAAGACAAGAUUACAGCAAAAGCAACUGGAAUUGAUAAGGGAACAUGAGAUUGGGAGAGAUAGUCCUGAGUGACAUUGCACAUUGGCUGGUGUUUGGGGAUUACCCUUGUGAGCUGGCAGGAGCAUGAAGCAAGGCUUUGUCUUCCAGCACCCCAGUGGUGGGAGAUAACGAUUUAAGUGUUUGGAAGCCAAGUUAAGUGAAAAUCUUCUUGGUACCUCGGGAGAGAGGCCAAUAGGACACCGAGUGAAGCCUAAAUAAUGCUGCAGGAUGUUGGGAUAAAGAGCUGGUUUAGUCUCCUGGGUUUGUAGACAUUGUUUUUGCUUCAGGGCUGUGAACAAGAUGCUAAAAUACAUUGCUGAUCCCUUUCCUCUGGGAGCUACAUCAGGGCUUAAACUUGAUUGAAGCACCCAACACCUGGAAAUAUUUUUAUCCUCUUCACUCCAGGCUGGAUUUGAACUGCUGACUUGGAGGCGAAAUGUUCUACAGCCCAAAUCCAAUCCAUGGAGCCAAUUAAGCUCCUUCCUCAUACAUUUCUUUGUGCUCUGUUUUGAAAAGAGAUUUUUAAGUGAUCUUAAGGAAAAAUAGGAUGUUGUUUCUACGGUUACCAUUGAUGGAAAUAUUGAUGUGAUGUAGUUUGUCUAGAGUUUUUCUCUUUUGUUAAAUAAAAAGCGUAAAUUAGCCUGUGUAUGUAAACCAAAAACAAAAAGGUAGGCCAAAAUCAAAAGAGGCGAUCAUUUGGUUAUACAUUUUUGCACAAAAGAAACAGAUAAAUUUUCUCAAAAGACUUGGCAGCCGUGCUAUUCAUAAAUGUGUGUUCAACAGAUAGUCUAGUUGCCUCACUUGUAGCUGGAGGACAUGCUGGUCCUUUCACAUCAUUUACCCAUUUGCUGAGUUUUUGAGUAGACAGUGAGACUGUAUUUCAAACCCGAGGAUUGCUUGCCAUAAACAUGGCUUCUGUCUCCCUGACAAAUGUUUUAUUAUCCCUUCUGUCUGGAUUCCUACUUUGUUCAGUCAGUUGUGUGUCUUUGUAGAGUUCAUAAGUUUCAAUGAUGGUUCUCAGAAUAUUUUUUAAACACUUCAGUUAAAAUAGCUCUUCAAAAAUCAACUAGUAUUUUCUAUAUUUCUUUAUGAGUGAAGAUGAUAAACUGGACACAGUUCUGUGACUUCUGUGCACUGGAAUAUAAUAAUUUAUGUCUGUAUAGCAUUUCUCUUUCAUGCAUAUCAAUGCACAAGUUACAGUCACUUGGUUACGUGGGUAAAGNCAAUGCACAAGUUACAGUCACUUGGUUACAUGGGUAAAGCAUUCAUUCAUUCUUUCAUUUGCAUUUACUUGUUCAUAUACUUAUUGAGUACUGAUAGGUCAGGCAUUGAGCUAGGUUCCAGGUAUAAGAAAUAUGAAAAACACCAUCCUUGUCUUCUAGAAGCUUCUAGAUGGUCCCUUCUUAUGGGAGCUAAAGUAAUUUAAUACUGUAAAUUGUCUAUACAAAGUGUAGAUGGGGAGCAGGGACAGGUUGCUAAAGCUGGAUUGGAUGAACAGGAAAAUAUUUCAAAAAGAAGAAGAAUUUAGAGUAAGAUAUGAAAAGAAAAAUGUUUUUCACACAGAUUGAGGGAGGAUAUUGACACUAGAGUACUAUGACCAUGGUUGUAUAGAUGAGGAAACUAAGAUUAAAAGACUUUUCAAGGUCAUGAGGAUGGUAGAUGAGAUUUCAGGUACUUGGACUGAGAUGUUUCAUUCUGUUGCCAUUGCACUCCACUACACCAAUCAACACUUCAUAGAGACUUUUCAAAUCUUCAUAAUUCUAUAAAGCAAGAGGUAUAUACGAUUACCUUUUUUUGGGGGGGGCGGAGGUUGAGGGCUGCACCUGCAGUAUGUAAAAAUUCCCGAGCCAGGGAUUGAACCCUAGCCACUGAAAUGACAAUGCCAGGUCCUUAACCUGCUGCAUCACAUGGGAACUCCAAGGUCAUCUUGCUUGAGCAUGAGAAGGCAUUUAAAAUCUUGGGGAGAGAGAGAGGAGUUCCCGUCAUGGCUCAGUGGUUAACAUAUCAGACUAGGAACCAUGAGGUUGCGGGUUCGAUCCCUGGCCUUGCUCAGUGGGUUAAAGAUCCCGCAUUGCUGUGGCUGUGGUGUAGGCUGGCAGCUACAGCUCCGAUUAGACUCCUAGCCUGGGAACCUCCAUAUGCUGCAGAAGCAGUCCUAGAAAAGGCCAAAAAAAAAAAAAAAAAAA
rnacentral:lncRNA from 1 species